GGUCAGGUGGCCGAGUGGUUAUGGCGCUAGUUUCAGGUACUAGUAUCGAAAGAUGCGUGGGUUCGAGUCCCACCCUGAUCA